CCUACGGGGGGCUGCAGUAAGGAAUAUUGCUCAAUGGAGGAAACUCUGAACCAGCCAUCCCGCGUGAAGGAUGAAGGGGCUCUGCCUUGUAAACUUCUUUUGUCUGGGGCGAAAAAGCUCGAUUUAUCGAGAACUGACGGUACCAGAAGAAUAAGCACCGGCUAACUCCGUGCCAGCAGCCGCGGUACUACGGCGGGUGCAAGCGUUAUCGGGAAUCACUGGGGCGUAGGGGUGUUUAGAAGGCUGAGGAGAAAGGCUGUGGCUUAACCAUGGAAUUGCCAUUGAUACUGCAGAGCUUGAAUGAGGUUGAGGUUGGCGGAAUGUGACAUGUAGCGGUGAAAUGCUUAGAUAUGUCAUGGAACACCGAUUGCGAAGGCAGCUGACUGGACCUAUAUUGACGCUGAGGCACGAAAGCGUGGGGAGCGAACAGGAUUAGAUACCCCAGUAGUC
rnacentral:rRNA from 1 species